UACGUAGGGGGCAAGCGUUGUCCGGAAUCAUUGGGCGUAAAGAGCGUGUAGGCGGCUUGGUAAGUCCGCUGUGAAAGUCCAGGGCUCAACCCUGGAAUGCCGGUGGAAACUGUCAAGCUUGAGUCCGGAAGAGGCGAGUGGAAUUCCUGGUGUAGCGGUGAAAUGCGCAGAUAUCAGGAGGAACACCAAUGGCGAAGGCAGCUCGCUGGGACGUUACUGACACUGAGGCGCGAAAGCGUGGGGAGCGAACAGG
rnacentral:rRNA from 1 species